rnacentral:rRNA from 1 species
GACAGAGGUGCCGAGCGUUAGGCGGAAUCACUGGGCUUAAAGCGUGUGUAGGCGGGUCGUUAAGUGUCUUGUGAAAUCCCCCGGCUCAACCGGGGAAUGGCUGGGCAUACUGGCGAUCUUGAGCAGUCUAGGGGCAGAUGGAACAAGUGGUGGAGCGGUGAAAUGCGUAGAUAUCACUUGGAACGCCGACGGUGAAAACAGCUCGCUGGGUGUGCACUGACGCUGAGGCACGAAAGCCAGGGGAGCGAACGGG